rnacentral:rRNA from 1 species
CUGAAAACACCGGUUCUCGUCCGAUCACCGAAGUUAAGCAUCAUCGGGCGCGGUCAGUACUUGGG